rnacentral:rRNA from 1 species
GACGAACGCUGGCGGCGUGCUUAACACAUGCAAGUCGAACGGUAAGGCCCUUCGGGGUACACGAGUGGCGAACGGGUGAGUAACACGUGGGUGAUCUGCCCUGCACUUCGGGAUAAGCCUGGGAAACUGGGUCUAAUACCGGAUAGGACCACUGCCUGCAUGGGUGGUGGUGGAAAGCUUUUGCGGUGUGGGAUGGGCCCGCGGCCUAUCAGCUUGUUGGUGGGGUGAUGGCCUACCAAGGCGACGACGGGUAGCCGGCCUGAGAGGGUGACCGGCCACACUGGGACUGAGAUACGGCCCAGACUGCUACGGGGGGCAGCAGUGGGGAAUAUGGCACAAUGGGCGCAAGCCUGAUGCAGCGACGCCGCGUGAGGGAUGACGGCCUUCGGGUUGUAAACCUCUUUCAGCACCGACGAAGCGCAAGUGACGGUAGGUGCAGAAGAAGGACCGGCCAACUACGUGCCAGCAGCCGCGGUAAAAC